GUUUACCUUUGGAUUUCAGAAGGGAAAAGAAAAAGUGGAGCACAGAAAUGAAAGAAAGGAUAAAAGGAAAAGAAAGGGAAGGAGAGGUGUUCUGGAAGUGCCUACCUGGUUCAGAAGGAGACAGCUGAAAUCAAGCCAAUGGAGGAUCAUGAACGCGGUUAUGAACUGCACAUGCAAGGGAUCUAGGCUGCACGCUCCUUAUGAGACUCUAAUGCCUGAUGAUCUAUCACCGUCUCCCAAUCACCCCCGGAUGGGACCAUCUAGUUGCAGGAAAACAAGCUUAGGGCUCCCACUGAUUCUACAUUGUGGUGAGUUGUAUAAUUAUUUCAUUAUACAUGACAAUGUAAUAACAAUACAAAGAAAGUGUACAAUAAAUGCAGUGCGCUUGAAUCAUCCCAAAACCAUCCCGCCCCACUGGUCCACGGAAAAAUU
rnacentral:lncRNA from 10 species